GCAAUUAUACCGCGAAACUGCGAAUGGCUCAUUAUAUAAGUUAUCGUUUAUUUGAUAAUACUUUACUACUUGGAUAACCGUGGUAAUUCUAGAGCUAAUACAUGCUAAAAAUCCCGACUUCGGAAGGGUUGUAUUUAUUAGAUUAAAAACCAAUGCCCCUCGGGGCUCUCUGGUGAAUCAUGAUAACUAGUCGAAUCGACAGGCCUUGUGCCGGCGAUGGCUCAUUCAAAUUUCUUCCCUAUCAACUUUCGAUGUUUGGGUCUUGUCCAAACAUGGUGGCAACGGGUAACGGAGGGUUAGGGCUCGACCCCGGAGAAGGAGCCUGAGAAACGGCUACUACAUCCAAGGAAGGCAGCAGGCGCGCAAAUUACCCAAUCCCGACACGGGGAGGUAGUGACAAUAAAUACUGAUACAGGGCUCUUUUGGGUCUUGUAAUCGGAAUGAGUACAAUUUAAAUCCCUUAACGAGGAACAAUUGGAGGGCAAGUCUGGUGCCAGCAGCCGCGGUAAUUCCAGCUCCAAUAGCGUAUAUUAAAGUUGUUGUGGUUAAAAAGCUCGUAGUUGAACCUUGGGCCUGGCUGGCCGGUCCGCCUCACCGCGUGCACUGGUCCGGCCGGGCCUUUCCCUCUGCGGAACCCCAUGCCCUUCACUGGGUGUGGCGGGGAAACAGGACUUUUACUUUGAAAAAAUUAGAGUGCUCAAGGCAGGCCUAUGCUCGAAUACAUUAGCAUGGAAUAAUAGAAUAGGACGUGUGGUUCUAUUUUGUUGGUUUCUAGGACCGCCGUAAUGAUUAAUAGGGACAGUCGGGGGCAUCAGUAUUCAAUUGUCAGAGGUGAAAUUCUUGGAUUUAUUGAAGACUAACUACUGCGAAAGCAUUUGCCAAGGAUGUUUUCAUUAAUCAGGAACGAAAGUUAGGGGAUCGAAGACGAUCAGAUACCGUCGUAGUCUUAACCAUAAACUAUGCCGACUAGGGAUCGGACGAUGUUACAUUUUUGACGCGUUCGGCACCUUACGAGAAAUCAAAGUGCUUGGGCUCC
rnacentral:rRNA from 1 species